GCAAUGUUUUAAUGAUUGGUAUGAAAUGUAAUGUACGCACUGUAGGUUGAUGAUUGACAACAGAGGACAUAUUUAACAAUAGAUUAUUGUUUGUUUUUUUAGAAUGUAAUAUUUGGUACAAAAGAUUCUGUUUAGUAUAUAAUCCCCAUUCAGAAUUUUGUCCAUUUCUCAGUAUAGACAACUCCAAUAUUGAAUAUUGAUCUCUAUCUACAUCUGUUGACCCGCUCUAUAUAGAGGAACUAUCCACACACAAUGUCAAGUUAGAUGUUUGAUAUAUUUACAUUUAGGUGAUAAUCCCCUG